GUGCUUACUUUGGCAGCACAUGUGCUAAAAUUGGAAUGAUACAAAGAAGAUUAGCAUGCCCUGUGCAAGGAUGACAUGCAAAUUCAUGAAGCACUCCAUAAAGUA
rnacentral:snRNA from 1 species